AGCGAACGCUGGCGGCAUGCCUAACACAUGCAAGUCGAGCGCUCCCAGCAAUGGGGGAGCGGCGGACGGGUGAGUAACGCGUAGGAACGUAUCCUGAGGUGGGGGAUAACCCUGGGAAACUAGGGCUAAUACCGCAUGAUGGCGAGAGCCCCAAAGAUUUAUCGCCUUGGGAGCGGCCUGCGUCUGAUUAGCUUGUUGGUGGGGUAACGGCCUACCAAGGCGAUGAUCAGUAGCUGGUCUGAGAGGAUGAUCAGCCACACUGGGACUGAGACACGGCCCAGACUCCUACGGGAGGCAGCAGUGGGGAAUAUUGGACAAUGGGCGAAAGCCUGAUCCAGCAAUGCCGCGUGGAUGAAGAAGGUCUUCGGAUUGUAAAGUCCUUUUCGGCGGGGUACGAAUGAUGACGGUACCCGCACGAAGAAAGCCCCGGCUAACUUCGUG
rnacentral:rRNA from 1 species